rnacentral:lncRNA from 1 species
AAGUUGACUCCGCCUGGACUCCUACGGGAGCCGGGCUCCGUCAUCAACCUCGACUGCUGGUAAGCUGUCUGGACUCCUAUGGGAGCCGACCUUCGCCUUUAACUUUGAUUGCAGGAAGACUCCGCUCAGACUCCCACGGGAGCCGGGCUCCACCCACUACCCCAACCGCAAGGAGGACUCCGCCCGGAUCCCUACGUGGGGUCAGACUCCGACCACGGCCGAACUUUAGCCGACAGGUCUGCACUCCCAGGCCGUAAUCACGACCACGAUUCUGCUACACUUCCUGCGAUGGAUUCCGCGCAGCUCCA